GGUAGUCCACGCUGUAAACGAUGUCGAUUUGGAGUUUGUUGCCUAGAGUGAUGGGCUCCGAAGCUAACGCGAUAAAUCGACCGCUGGGGAGUACGGCCGCAAGGUUAAAACUCAAAUGAAUUGACGGGGGCCCGCACAAGCGGUGGAGCAUGUGGUUUAAUUCGAUGCAACGCGAAGAACCUUACCUGGUCUUGACAUCCAUAGAAUUCUGCAGAGAUGUGGGAGUGCCUUCGGGAACUAUGAGACAGGUGCUGCAUGGCUGUCGUCAGCUCGUGUUGUGAAAUGUUGGGUUAAGUCCCGCAACGAGCGCAACCCUUAUUCUUUGUUGCCAGCGACUUGGUCGGGAACUCAAAGGAGACUGCCGUUGAUAAAGCGGAGGAAGGUGGGGACGACGUCAAGUCAUCAUGGCCCUUACGACCAGGGCUACACACGUGCUACAAUGGCGUAUACAAAGGGAAGCGAAGGUGCGAGCUGGAGCGGAUCUCAUAAAGUACGUCUAAGUUCGGAUUGGAGUCUGCAACUCGACUCCAUGAAGUCGGAAUCGCUAGUAAUCGUAGAUCAGAAUGCUACGGUGAAUACGUUCCCGGGCCUUGUACACACCGCCCGUCACACCAUGGGAGUGGGUUGCACCAGAAGUAGAUAGCUUAACCGCGAGGGGGGCGUUUACCACGGUGUGAUUCAUGACUGGGGUGAAGUCGUAACAAGGUAACCA
rnacentral:rRNA from 1 species